UUGGGUUUGGUAGGAGUGUUUCUUUGAACUAGUUCCUGUAUGGAUCACCGUUGGAAGGCGAAUGCUUAGACACCUCAUAAAAAUUAAUCAUUACCAAAUCAAAAUUUAAUAGGUAUGCUUUCUAUUACUUAUUAUUAGAUUAUGCUUUGAUUGUUAUUAUCAAGGUGUCCUGGGCAUUAGAAUUUUGGUGUGCUAGGAUGUUUUGAAUAAAAUUUUAAACAUCUAGGUAUUCUGCUACACCACCAUAACCUAAUAAGAUCAUCAGAUCACAGUGAAGA
rnacentral:lncRNA from 1 species